AGCUUCAAAACAAAAGAACUAAAAUAGAGGUUGCAAAUGCAGGGCCUUAACUUUAAGAAGGGUUGCCUCAAUGUGCCUUCUGGAAAAUGGGACUGUUUUCUUUUGCUGUAGAAAUUCGGAUACCAUAAUUUACAAUUCUAAAGACCUCAUCUACGACCUUGUGCAGGUUGAUCAUAAGCAGAAAACCAGAAGCGGCAGUGGUCUCCAGAAGAGACCCAAGGACCCCAAGCUCUCUGUGACACAAACAGGAAGGGCACUGUGGUGCACUGAAAACCUGCGCCAGUAGUGCAUUACCAGUGCACUAUGCUGCUGUUUCAUCAAGGUGAAAGGAGGUUACCACCCCCAGAGGAACUUCAUGCUCUACAGUAUGCUUUUGAAUGUCACGUGGAGAAGUGUGGAAGGCGUUCCUCCAUGGCAGAGCGGUGACCGGAGCGUGAGCUGAUACCUGGCAGACAAGCUGGAUGUCAUUGCAACUGGUGGCGGAAGGAGAAGACGACAAGAUGCUCGUGUGGUUGUGCGUGCCAGGGCUUGAUUGCGUCUUUUCUCAGACUACACUGUUUUUACUUGUACACAUGUAAAAUAAAUAUUGUUUGCUCAAUUUGAGAUAUCAGAAA